UCAUUGCUCAUCAGUGAUGUGUUUUCUCUGCAGGCUUUCUAUCCUGCUAACAAGGAUAUUAGUGUGAAGUAUGGUGACACCAUUGCAGGCAGAUGUGUGUUUACUGGGGAAGGCAGAACCUCCAAAACAUAUAUUGGGGCUACCUCUGCUGAUGAAAUGUGCAACUUCUACAUAAUGUACUACAUGGACAGCAGACAUGCCGUCCCUUACAUGACCUGCAUGGAGCCAGGCUCCAAAGAGCUGUUCCAGCAUAUUCCAGAUGAAGCCAACAUGCCCAUCGCUGUCAGUCCAGCUGAUAUAAACUCUAUGAUGCAUAUGAGGCACUCAACA